AGUUGGUGCGAAGGUGCUGAGACAGUUGGUAACUGACCUGUUAUAACUGAGGUUAAGUUUUCACUCCGGGGCUACAGAGGUAGAGUCAGUGUGCUCAGGCAUGAUUUCAGGAGAGCUGCUCCUGUCUACUCCCCCAGCACCCAGACUCACCUUAUAUUCCUGAGUGGACUGAUGUUCAUGAACAUGAGCUUAUAAAUGUGUUGUUUAUCAUGAAGUAUCACGGACUCUCGUUAAGUCUGUUUCCUGUGUCUCUCAAGAGAUGGAGAAAAGGCCCAUCUCUGUGGGUGUUGACCCAUGGGAGCAGAGAGUAUCCUGACAAGGACUGAGAGGUUAAGGAAGGAGCCAGGCUCAAGCUUCAAGGGGACAUAUGCCUGAACAACAAUGCAACUCUGGAUACAAGUGCCUGUGCCCUUCCUCGAGUUGAUGGAAUUUAGCUACUAGAUAUAUGCUCCAUCAGCUUACAGGAGCUCCAACCAUGAUGUCCUGGUCAUGCUGGUCAAGAACGGUUCCCUCAUCCCAAUCCCUGACUUGGGCUUGCAACAUGUCCUAGAACCUGGACCACUAGCACCAGCAGAUGCUGUAACAAAAUUCCUGAACAGGAUGCAAAAGUGUUUCAGCUGAGCCUUGAGAGGUGAACGUACCUUGGCACCUGUCCCCUGGAUGGGACAACUUGAGGAAGGGCCAUCCAUAUUCCUGUUCCCUACCCAGGACACUGCUAAUGUGCAUAUGAGGAGAACACAAGACCCCAACCUGCUGCAGGAUGGAGAGCAGAGACAACUGAAGCCUUCUCCAUAACACUUGUGCAUUCCUUCUGCAGGCUUCAAAAGACUAAUCUGUGAUUUUAGACACAGGACAGGAGGAGACUGAGAGGUGAACGCUAGCUAAGCCUGCGUCUUCUACCAGGGCAGUGACCUGCAAAUGAUGUUCCACUGACUAGAUUUUUGGAUAGUAAUUGUUGUAGUCCAAGAGACUCUUUGACAAGACAAGAGUGUGUACAUUUGGAGCAUUCUGGGGACAUAAUUUUGAUAGUAAUAUAAUUUUCUGUAACCUGCAAGAGUUUAAUAGUUCUAGUUGUUUUAUUUAUGUAUGAUAUAUUUAGUUUUGUUUUAUGAGCUUGUUGGGAUUUUCAACAUAUAGAUUCACUCUGUUUAUGAAUGAAUAUUCUACUGGCAGUUCCAGUGGGAUGAACAAUUAAUCCUCCCCCCU